UUCUUGCUUAUUAUUUCUUAUGUCUCAUUCACCAUAAUAUUUCUUGUGAUUACUAACCAUUUAAUUUUUGUCUUAAAUCAUAGCAUGCAUAUUUAAUUUUCUCAUCAUUUUAUUUUGUCAUUGACUUAGUAUGUAUAAAUAGGGAAUUGAUGUAAUUUUAUUUCUUGCAUUUUAUUUUGGCAUAAAGGCCUUAGGGUUGUAUUUAGGAAUUGAUGUAAUAAUGUAGGUAACACAAGCACCGACACAUGCACCGACACUACCACAUUUUAUUUACCGCUUUCCGUUAGUUUUUACGACGUUACGUUAGUUUUCACCGUUAGUUUAGAAAAAUCAUUUU
rnacentral:lncRNA from 1 species